AUACUUACCUGCAAAUGAGCUACCGUGAUUCGUAAGAUAGGCGGUUCACCCAGGGCGAGGCUCAGGCCAUUGCACUGGUGGCUGUGCUUGACCCCUGCGAAUUUCCCAAAAUGCGGAAAUCGGCGUUCGGUACACUUAAUUUAUGGUAGUGGGGUACGUGUGAGCUGCG